rnacentral:lncRNA from 1 species
UUUUUUUCGGAGAACUGAAACGCACUACUGGUACCUGCACGUGUUCCAAAAAAUCCCAAAUUAGGCUCAGGGCCCCUUUUUGGCCAAUAUCGCAAUUCCGGGACGGCGGUUCCCCCGUGCUCCGGCGACGGCACCGCCGCUUGCGGCGGCGAUUUACCUCGGUUUGGCCGUUUCCGGUCGAAUUCAGCCACACUUGCAUCGAUCCCUGCUAUAAAACAACCCUAGGGCCCUUGGGGGGCCAAAAAAUUACGAAAAAUCGAAGCUUACC